UAUUCAACCCUAAUCCUCCAUCUUCCUCUCUUACGUCUCUCUCUCUCUCUCUCUCUCUCUCUCAACUUAGCCCUAAAAGAAAAAUCUAAUGUCUGGCAUGUACGAUCAAGGAGGAGACGCUGCUCCUUCGUCUUACGGAGCCCCUGGGGGCGGUGGAGGAGGAUACGGCGGCGGAGGGUAUGGAGGCGGUGGUGGCGGAUAUGGUGGAAAGGGCGGCGAUGGUGGAUAUGGCGGCGGAGGCCGAGGAGGCGGCGGUGGCGGCGGUGGUGGUAGAGGAUAUGGAGGACGAGGUGGUGGCGGAGGCUACGGUGGGCGAGGAGGCGGCGGUGGUGGUGGCUAUCAAGGAGGAGAUCGUGGAGGGCGAGGUGGUGGACGUGGUGGGGGAGGUGGUCGUGGUGGAAGCGGGAGAGAUGGUGAUUGGGUCUGCCCUAAUCCUGGCUGUGCAAAUGUGAACUUUGCUAGAAGAGUGGAGUGUAACAAGUGUGGUACACCAUCACCUGGUGGUGCCAGUGACCGAAGUGGUGGUGGUGGUGGUGGAGGAGGAUAUAAUAGAGGUGGAGCUGAUGGGGGUUAUGGUGGUAAUCGUAAUGGCAGAGGCGGAAGUUACCAUGGUGGUAGAAGUGGAAAUCAUGAUGGUGGUCGCUAUGAAGGAGGGAACAGAGGUGGUAAUUCUUAUGGUGGUCACCAGGGAGGAGAGGAUAGCGGGCACAGUCAGGUUCCUCCAUCAUCAGCCCCCCCAUCAGGUGGUGUUGGUGGCUCUUAUCCACCAUCUUAUCGUGGUGGAAGUGCAGAUUAUGGUACGGAUGCAGUUCCUCCGCCUGCAAGCUACAGUGGAACUACCUACCCUCCAACUUAUGGUGGUCCCACUGGUGGCUAUGGCGGUGAUGGUCUAGGUGAUGGGCGGAGUGCGACUGGUCGUGGUGGGCCAUCAGCUGGAUAUGAUGGUGCUUACAAUGCAGGUGGUAAAGGUGGUGGUUACAAUGCUGGUGGUAGAGGAGGUGGAAGCUAUAAUGCUGGUGGUGGUAGAGGUGGUGGUUAUGGAAGUACACCAGCAGCAGAGCCAGCACAGGUGAAACAGUGCGACGAAUCUUGUGAUGAUUCUUGUGAUAACUCAAGAAUCUAUGUUUCGAAUCUGCCAACAGAUGUGACCAUUGAUGAAUUGAGAGAACUAUUUGGUGGCAUUGGCCAAAUUGGAAGAAUCAAGCAGAAGAGGGGCUACAAGGAUCAGUGGCCUUGGAACAUAAAAAUAUAUACAGAUGAGAUGGGAAAUAACAAAGGCGAUGCAUGUGUAUCAUAUGAAGAUCCCUCAGCGGCACAUUCUGCUGGCGGUUUCUAUAACAAUUAUGAUUUGAGAGGUCAUAGCAUCAAUGUUGCAAUGGCUGAGAAGUCUGCACCGAGGGCGCCUACAUACAACCAUGGUGGUGGCGGCAGAGGUGGAUAUGGAGGUGGUGGUGGUGAUAGACGUAGAGAUAGCUAUAGGGACGGAGGCUCAGGACCUGAUAGACAUCAGCAUGGUGGAAAUAGAUCUCGUCCUUACUGAGCGAUUCGGCAUUGAGCAUUUUAUGUAAUGGGAAUUGUGAUCUUAGUGUUUUAAUUUUGUUCCGUGGCUGGAUUCUUGAAUUGGAGACCAAAGAGAGGCAGGCGGAUAAUCUCCAAACUGCUUGUUGCUAAGGUAGGUGUUGAUGUUUUCAGGUGAGUGCUUCUCUUUCCAUAACCAUCCUUACAAUUUCACGGGUGCUGAAUAUAUAAGCUCCUCCUGAUCUCAGACAUCCCUUGUUGGCUCUGAUGCAAAGCAUAUCUUAUAACCUAUAAUUAUCAUUUCUGCAUUCAUAUUUUAUUUAUUUAUUAAAUAUCAACUUGCCACUCUUCUUUACUUCUAAAUUUCAUUCAUUAUUUCUUAGGGAUUACUUGAAAAUCUUUAUUAUUCCUUUAUUCGUCUAGCAUGUGCUCAAGGCUGCUUCUGAUUUUUCAAAUUUGUCUUCUAUUUUUCAAAAGACUAUCAUAUAUCAUGUGCUCAAGGGUUCAGAAAAUUAGAGAUGAGGAUAGCUCAUAUCCAAUAUAGAAAACUUCAACUCUUGAGGUCUAUUGCUUGGUGUAAAUGGAUUUUAGGCCUUUGCAAUGUUGCAUAUUUUUGCCGAUUUCUGUUGUAUGUAGACGUCGUGAUGACGCUCCAAAUGUUAAAAAAAGACUCAUUUUAGUGUUAGAUCUCAAGGCAAGUUAACCUCAUGAACUGUGAUGCUCUGCCAUUGCUAGUUUCCUUCUGCAUAUUCAGUGACUGCAGGAAAUAUUUGUCAGCAAUAACCUUGGAAUUGUGUCGUAUGAGUCUGAUUGUGUUAUUUGAAAAAGGAUAAGUGGUUGUUUC